CCUACGGGUGACAGCAGUAGGGAAUAUUGCUCAAUGGGGGAAACCCUGAAGCAGCAACGCCGCGUGGAGGAUGAAGGUUUUCGGAUUGUAAAAUCCCUUUGUUAGAGAAGAUAAUGACGGUAUCUAACGAAUAAGCACCGGCUAACUCCGUGCCAGCAGCCGCGGUUAUACGGAGGGUGCAAGCGUUACUCGGAAUCACUGGGCGUAAAGAGCGCGUAGGCGGGAUAGCUAGUCAGAUGGGAAAUCAUAUGGCUUAACCAUAGAACUGCAGUUGAAACUGUUAUUCUAGAGUAUGGGAGAGGUAGGUGGAAUGCUUGGUGUAGGGGUAAAAUCCUUAGAGAUCAAGAGGAAUACUCAUUGCGAAGGCGACCUGCUAGAACAUAACUGACGCUGAUGCGCGAAAGCGUGGGGAGCAAACAGGAUUAGAUACCCUGGUAGUC
rnacentral:rRNA from 1 species